CCUCCCGGUAAUAGCUAGCUCGUGUUCGUGUGGAGUAUCCGCGUGUCAGCUGAAGGACCGGAUCAACCUUUCAGCCAGGGUCUCCUCCCGGUAUUGCUAGCUCGUGUCGUGUCGUUUUGGAUCCAUUUCCGUCAGCUCGUCAUGCUCCUGGUGUCUGCUCUGCUGGUCAGCUGCGCCUGGAGUGCGCAACAUGAUGGCAGUCACAUCUGUUUUUCUACUUUUAAAAACCAGCUACCUAUGAAGAAUUUAGAUUUGAUGUAUUACCCAGUUUUUGCUGAUGGUAGUCCAGGAGAAUGAUGCAUGUCUCCCCAGCUCGGCUCCCAGCUCUGGCAUGAGACUUUUCCAUGCACAGAUUCCCAGCCCUCCCAAGAGCACUUCCCAAGGACCUACAGGCAGAGAAGAGGUCGCGGCAGCAGCAUGGAGAGUAGGGAGGACCAGACCUUCUGCAAGAGGUUCCAGCUCCUCUUGGGGAUUCCCCAGCAUCCCCAGGCCAGCUGAGAGAUAUGAUCCCUCCAGCGUGUCAAAAUAUCUGUGCCUUAUUUUAUAAAAUGGAGAUGAUCCUGACAUACAUUAAAGUGGUAUUGUGCGGCAUAGUGUUUCUAAAUACCCUUUGAGAACA